rnacentral:tmRNA from 1 species
CGACUUCAAAAGCCCCGCGUUGAUCCCUAUAUAGGUCUUGUCCGGGGCAACCCGGUCUAUGGCGAUAAACGGCUUCGUAAUAAGCGGACUGGACCCGGGGGCGGUACCCGGCGCCUCCACCAACCUCCCUCUAGAAGCGGGAGCCCUUUUCGAAGGGGCAUGUGGGGGCGAAACAGGAUCGACAGACGUGUAAAGGUUGACCUUUCGCCCGGUAUGGUAUCCGCCGUUAUCGGGCUACUCGUACAGGUGCCAACGAUAAUGAAAUGGCCCUCGCUGCCUAACUUCUAGUUAGACAAGCGCGGCUUUGGGACGUGCGCCGGGCAACAGAAGCACGUCCCG